UACAGAGGGUGCGAGCGUUGUUCGGAAUUAUUGGGCGUAAAGCGCGCGCAGGCGGUUUCUUAAGUCUGAUGUGAAAGCCCACGGCUCAACCGUGGAGGGUCAUUGGAAACUGGGGAACUUGAGUGCAGAAGAGAAGAGCGGAAUUCCACGUGUAGCGGUGAAAUGCGUAGAGAUGUGGAGGAACACCAGUGGCGAAGGCGGUUCUUUGGUCUGUAACUGACGCUGAGGCGCGAAAGCGUGGGGAGCAAACAGG
rnacentral:rRNA from 1 species